rnacentral:lncRNA from 1 species
AACAACAAAGAUGUUGCGAAACAUAAUAAAUGGGUGAGGUAAAUCAAACAAAAAGGGAUGACUAAAAUCAAGAACCAUUUGGGACCAGAGGAGAGAUGGCAGCAGCAGACACAAUGUGAUUAUUGUAACCACGUAGACACAGAUAUGUAUCUAUAUACUGGUCUGAUCUAGGCAGUGGGUUUCUCCAACUUGAGGGGCUUCACCACCUCCCAGGUGAAGUCGGGGUCAUCCCUACCAAAAUGCCCAUAAGCAGCUGUCUUCAAGAACCUCCCGCUGCCACCCCUCUUCAAGUCAAGGUCGAUGAUGAUCAUCCCAGGCCUAAAAUCGAAGUUCUCCUUCACAAUCUUCAAGAUCUCCUUAUCCGGAAUCUUGCCUGUGCCACAGGUAUCCACAAAC